rnacentral:lncRNA from 10 species
GCUUAGGCAGGAGUGCAAUCGUGCGAUCUCGGUUCACUGCAACCUCAGCCUUCCUGGGUUCAAGCAAUUCUCCUGCUUCAGCCUCCCCAGUAGCUGGGAUUACAGGUGCCUGCCACCAUGUCCGGCUAAUUUUUAUUUUUUCUUUUUGUAUUUUUAGUAGAGAUGGGGUUUCACCAUGUUGGCCAGGCUGGUCUCAUACUCCUGGCCUCGUGAUCUGCCCACCUCGGCCUCCCAAAGUGCUGGGAUUACAGGUGUGAGCCCAGCUGAGAGUUUGAUUUUCUAACAUUCUCAGGGGUCGCUGUUGCUGCUGCCGCUAAUGUUGGUAAAGUGGUUAGUCAGAUAGAUACAGGGCCCUUGCCCAGGGUUUAAACCCUUGCUGGGUUUCAACUUUAGAUCUUCUACUUGUAGCUAGCUAUGUGGCCUUGGCCAGGUCCUCUAACCUGUGUGAGCCUUAGUUUCCUCAUCUGUAAAUUGGAAUGCUACCUACUUCCUAGGAUGUUGUAAGAAUCCCAUGAUUUAACGUGUAUAAUCCCUCAGCACAGUGCCUGUGGUCAGCAUUUAAUAGAGGAUCGUUUUAUUAUUUUAUUAAUACCAGUGAGGAGGCUGUUGCUGAAGUCCAAGGGAGAGAUGAAAGAGAGGCUGAACGAGGCUCGUGGCUGAGGGAUGGAGGGCAUCUGUUUUCUCAGUGGCUCAAAGCCUAUGAUCCUCCCUCAUAGGAGAACACGUUGCUUCCUUCCACAGCGGGAACUUGCUGAAAACCUGUCGGCUGGUGCCUGUGUGUCCUCUAGAGGGCAGUGGAGUCAAGGCUGAGGAUGGAGCAUUGUGUGCCCUCGGUUGGGGCUGGUCUGUGCGUUCAGCCUUUAUUCCCUGUUCUGAAACCCAAUUGUGUAUUUGCAUUGGACUGUCCCCUCCUCCUUGCUCUGUGUACUUGCUGACGCUUUUUGGAAAACACAUCACAGGGCACCUCUGAUUUCCUGCUUGUCUUGUAGCCUGGGAUUAGCAGUAGCUGAAGCGUGCUGCUUUCUGGCAGUUGUGUUUAUUUCUCAAGGGCACAGGCUGUACAGAUCAUGGGGGCCUGCUCCCUGCAGCUCAGCUGAGCCUAGGAUGAACCACAGUUGCUCUUAUGCCAGUUAAAAACUUGGGGCCUGUUCCAUCUUGCAUUUCCUCCCCCGCUUCCCAGUCCUCGCCCGCACCCUUUGAUCCUGUGAGUGGAGAAAUGAAGAGAACUCCAAAUCCUUAAUCCAUUUUGAAGGCCGGCUGGCAGCAGGGCUUUCUGUGGGCCUGGGAUUAUUGUCAUUUGUUGCCUGAUGACCACUGGCCUGAAAAC